AAAAAACAUAAACCCUAGUUUCCACGUCCAAUAUUUAACCGUCCGUUUUAUUUGAAAAAAUUAUAAAAAAAUUAAAAAGACAAGUCACACAUAAAAUAUUAGUCAUGUUUUAUCAUCUAACAACAAUAAAAAUACGAAUUAUAAAAAAAUUUCAUAUAAAACGGAUCAUCAAAGUUGAACACGGAAACCCAGGGUUUGCCUUUUU
rfam:Oryza nivara chromosome 4, whole genome shotgun sequence.